rnacentral:lncRNA from 1 species
AUGGUUAUAUUGCGACUUUGAAAUUUAUACAGGAAGAAGUCCAGAUAUUCAUUGCAACCGAUUUGGGUAUGACGUGGUGAUCUGAUAUCAGUUUGGUUACAGUCUUAGGUCUUUUGUAGUACAAUAUAAAGGAAAUAUUUUCACCACAUAAUCCAAUUAUGUGCUUUGGCAAACAUUACUGCUUUAGCAAACAUUACUGCCUUGGAAAACAUUACUUUUUUUAUAACUACUAAUUAUGAUGAUGCCAGUCCAACAACACUUGGUCAUGCUAUUUGCAAAUAUUUUCAUGUUCUAGAUUGUGAAAACAAUCAAUUUCUAAACAAAUGAGUAGUG